UGGGGAAUAUUGCUCAAUGGGAGAAAUCCUGAAGCAGCAACGCCGCGUGGAGGAUGAAGGGUCUAUGACUUGUAAACUCCUGUAAAGAAGGAAAAAAUUCCCAUUUGAUGGGAGAUGAUGGUACUUCUGGAGUAAGCCCCGGCUAACUACGUGCCAGCAGCCGCGGUAAUACGUAGGGGGCAAGCGUUGUCCGGAUUUACUGGGUGUAAAGGGUGCUCAGGCGGAUUUGUAAGUCAGAGGUGAAAUCUUACAGCUUAACUGUGAAACUGCCUUUGAUACUGCAAGCCUAGAGUAUGGAAGAGAGUGAUGGAAUAUCUGGUGUAGCAGUGAAAUGCGUAGAUAUCAGAUAGAACACCAAUGGCGAAGGCAGUCACUUGGUCCAUUACUGACGCUAAAGCACGAAAGCGUGGGUAGCAAACG
rnacentral:rRNA from 1 species